ACUUCAUCUCCAUGAUAGAAAGAAGAAGACGUCAGAUAAUACAGUGAAGAGAAAGUCCAAGGGUAUCUCUUCUUUCUUUAAGAAGAAAAGUUGUACAGGGGAGACGCAGCCAAGCAGCAACAGAGGGUAAAUGUUAGUGAGGAUGCAGUCGAAGAUGAUGAUAACAUCAUUGAGAAAGCCAAUGAACAGACAGAGGAAGUGAGAGAGCAUGACAGAAAGGAGGCAGAACAGGACAGCCAUGAACAGGCACAGGCAGCAUCGAUGAUAGAGCACAGUGAAGAACAACAGAUAGCAGCAUUUCACGAAAGUGCGGAACAGACAGCGACAACAGUCACAGAGGAUGACAAUCGAGCAAGGCAGGACUCAGCUAGAACUCUUCAACCCAUUCCUGGACCAACAGGUGAAGUUGUGACGGUGUGCCCCUGAGAAGGAAAUGGACAGCUAGAGAGUAACAUUAUCUGGAUAAGUGUAUGGUUAUAGCAUGUCUACACUGAGUUAUGGGCCAUGACGUAAUCACAUAAAUCCCUCUGAUACAUGUUUAUUGGUAGCUGAGUUUGAAAGUCUGAACAGAAUAGUCGAUAGGCCGAUACUACAAAUGUAAUUGGUAAUUCCUAUGGAUAGGGGCUAGCUACUCAUGAUAUUAUUGUUGUUGUUGUUGUUGUUCUUGUUAUUAUUUUAAAAUCAGAAUAACUGGUUUUGCCUCUUAUUUCAUCCUAGAUAUAUCCCAUUCAAGAGCAAAGGGGCCCAAACAUCCACAUCUUAAGUUUUUCCAUCAGACUCUCCAGGAGAAUAGAAGACGGGGCUUCAUGAACGAGUGGUACAUAAAUGGAUGGAAUACUCUCAGAGUAAAGACUCUGCCUACUGCUAUGCCUUCGGCACUUCUGUCUCCCCUCCUCAGGUGAUUCGGUGUUUACAUCUGAAGAGGGGUUCAAAAAUUGGAAAAAAGUAACUUAUAAAGACGGGGGAUUUGUAGGCCAUGCCAAAUCAGAAUCACAUACUAAUGAUAUGUUAGCAUGGGGUAGAAUAUGGAAAGUCGACUGCAAGUAAACACUCUCUCUCAGCCUCCUUAAAUGCAGAAUAUAAUGAAGUAGUGAGGGAAAAUAGAGAGUACAUUAAAACUGUUGGAAAAACACUGCCCUAUGCAUAACAUUGCACAGAGAGCACAUAAAGAAGCAGAAGGUCAGAAUAAAGGAAAUUUCCUCUCUAUUAUUGAACUGCCAGUCAAGCAUGAUCACGGAGUCAAAAGAAAAAUGACAAGUCAAAGAAAUGCAACGUAGCUUGGGUAUAAUACACAAAACCAAAUAAUGGAUUGCCUGGCUGAAAUGGUCCGCGAUGAAGUUGCACAAAGUGAGGCUUUCAGCAUUAUGGUCAACGAGACCACAGACAUUAGAGAGAAGGAACAGAUGUCCAUUAUAAUUUGAUACUAUUACAAUGGAUCAAUAUGUGAAAGUACCCUCACCUUUGAAGCAGCAGAGUGCCUGGAUGCUGCAGCGCUUUCACAGAAAAUUGUAAAAAUAAUGCAGAGGUAUGGCCUUGACUACAGAAACACCUAGUAGGGCAAGCAUACGAUGGCACCUCUGUCAUGAGUGGAAAGAACACAGGUGUGCAAGCAUGCAUUAAAUCAGAGGCCCCAUUAGCUUUUUAUGUUCCCUGCAAUGCACAUUGCUUGGAUUUAGUAUUAAAUGACAGUGUGAAAUGCAUUCCUUAAGCCUAUUGUUUCUUUUGUCUUUUGCAGAAACUGUAUGUUUUUGUGUCAGGGUCAUAUGUGCACUACAGGAGGCUAGAGGUACAGAGAGAGAUGUUUCAGGUGGCUGAUAGAGACACAGUGGGCAUGUAGGUACAAUGCUUGCAAGAGAGUGAGGGAAAGACUGCCAGCCAUCAUAUGUCUACUGAGAGAAAUAGUGUCAGAGCUGUAGAGGCAAGAGGUCUAUUAGCCCAAAUAGAUCUAAAGUUUGUUGGCAUCCUUGUAACAUUCACCAAUGUUUUUGAUAAGAUCUCAGAUACUUUACAGUCCUCACAACUCAAUUUGGGCACGGCCGUUACCCUUGUUGAUUCUCUUGUCAACACAUUGAAUAGUUAUAGAGAGGGCUCUCUCUUUAAUGAGAUUUAGGACAACUGUGACCCUUGCCGAGCAAUGCAACAUCGAUGUUGCACCUCCAGGCCAUCCAGGGCAUCAGGUCACACAAAGCUCUAGGCUUGAAGGGUAUUACAUUUCCACUCCAACAGUUCAGAGACAGGUCAAUACAGAUAAGGAGUAAUUUCAGGCAGGUUCAUUCAUUCCAGUUGUUGAUGUGUUUCUCUCUAAGGUGAAGAGAAGCUUUUCUAAAGAAAAUUGUGUCAUAAUGCAAGGGAUACAAGCCUUAAAUCCCUGCAGUCCCACAUUUUCUGAGAAAAAUGUUGUGUUUCCAUUUGCCUCACAAUACAACAGCAGCACUGAGGAUCUAGAAUAUGAAAUCCCUCAGCUUAAGUGAAUUAUUAAUAGGAAGCAAACCAGAGGCUUGGAAACACCAACCAGUCUUCCUUGAAUCAUACAGGGAGGUGUUCCACGAGAUGAUUAAACUUUGCAAAAUUGCACCUGCAUUACCUGUGAGUACUGUGACUGUGAGCGCAGUUUUUCUGUGUUAAAGUUAAUCAAUGCUGUCUUGAGAAAUACAAUGAGUGACAAGCAAUUGAGCAAUUUGAGGGUGUUAAGUGUAGAGUCAAGAAGGGCCAGGUCCAUAAAUCUUUGAUUUUGUGGAUGUGUUUGCCAAAAGACACAACAACGAAUAAAGCUGUAUUGAAAAGAAUGUAGCCUAAUAAAGCAGGGAUAUGAAUAGGUAGGAUAUAGUAUAAUGUACAUUGUCCCUGAUAAUGCUUUUUUGUUUUGUUUUUAAUUUUUGGAAAGAUGAAUAAAGCUGUAUUGAAAAUAUUUGAAGGCCUUCAAACUUGAGUAGGCUCGUUCACAGUAAAUGUUUUGUUCCUUACAAUCAUUGUAGGCUAUUCUGUCAAAUCAAAGCUGUAUAUUUGUCUUUUUAAGGAAAAUGACAACUAGCCUAUUUAAAGAACAAUGAAUGGCCUAACAUAUGUAUAUACAGAUACAUAAAACAUUAAAAUGGGAUUGUUGUGGAACUCAAAA